rnacentral:misc_RNA from 1 species
GAUGAAGAACGCAGCGAAAUGCGAUAAGUAAUGUGAAUUGCAGAAUUCAGUGAAUCAUCGAGUCUUUGAACGCACAUUGCGCCCCCUGGUAUUCCGGGGGGCAUGCCUGUCCGAGCAUCAUUGCCGCCCUCAAGCACGGCUUGUGUGUUGGGCCCCCGCCCCCCGGCUUCGGGGGGCGGGCCCGAAAGGCAGCGGCGGCACCGCGUCCGGUCCUCGAGCGUAUGGGGCUUCGUCACCCGCUCUGUAGGCCCGGCCGGCGCCCGCCGGCGACCCCAAUCAAUCUUUCCAGGUUGACCUCGGAUCAGGUAGGGAUACCCGCUGAACUUAAGCAUAUCAAUAAGCGGAGGA